rnacentral:rRNA from 1 species
UACGUAGGGGGCGAGCGUUGUCCGGAGUUACUGGGCGUAAAGGGCACGCAGGCGGUCACGCGCGUCUGCCAUGACAGCUCCCGGCUCAACCGGGAGAGGCUGGUGGAAACGGCGCGACUUGAGGACUUCAGAGGGACACGGAAUUCCGGGUGGAGUGGUGAAAUGCGUAGAGAUCCGGAGGAACACCAAAGGCGAAGGCAGUGUCCUGGGAAGUACCUGACGCUCAGGU